UACGUAGGUGGCAAGCGUUAUCCGGAUUUACUGGGUGUAAAGGGCGUGUAGGCGGGAAAGCAAGUCAGAUGUGAAAACCAUGGGCUCAACCUGUGGCCUGCAUUUGAAACUGUUUUUCUUGAGUACUGGAGAGGCAGACGGAAUUCCUAGUGUAGCGGUGAAAUGCGUAGAUAUUAGGAGGAACACCAGCGGCGAAGGCGGUCUGCUGGACAGCAACUGACGCUGAGGCGCGAAAGCGUGGGGAGCAAACAGG
rnacentral:rRNA from 1 species